CCCAAACCCCUUUCCCCUCACUUAACUCACGCAGCCACACACACAACUCACGCAGCACACACACAAACACCCAAAACACACACUAGAAUUCACGCAAACACCAUUGUUGAGAAGUUUGAGCUUUUGAGCUCCGAUUUGAGCACCGAGACGAGCGCCGAUCAUCUUUUCGAUCACGUAUCUAAGUAGGUCCUUUUGGGAAGUAACGACUUGAGGGAGAGAGUGACGUUACUCAUUGAUACAGAGACACAACGAGGUUGAGCUGAUGUGAUGAUGGUGCUGCAAUGAGCGGAGUCUCCAGGGUUGUUAAUAAAUAGUUAACCUGUCUAGAAUAUGUCUUCAUACAUAUGUCUAGCUACUUUCCGCUGCAAGAUGUUGUUGAUGUUAUAGUAUGUUAUGUCAUACUUUGAGUCUUAAGAGAAUGGUUUCAUAUGAUGUAAAACUUGAUUAAUGAUAUUAAUUAAGUUUUAUGUUGUCUUUCAUAGACUGUUUUCAAUUGAGUAUUAAUGAAUAAAAAU